rnacentral:rRNA from 1 species
AGCUCCAAUAGCGUAUAUUAAAGUUGUUGCAGUUAAAACGCUCGUAGUCGGAUUUUGGUGUGGCCCGUGCUGUGUGCGUAAUGCAUGUGGCGCUGGGACACGCUUUUGUGGAGGGCGGCGCGUCGUGGCUUUAUUGUCGCGGCGUGUCGGCGCCACCGUUUACUGUGAAAAAAUUAGAGUGUUCAAAGCAGGCGUUUGCCGUGAAUACAUUAGCAUGGAAUAAUAGAAUAGGACUUGGUUUCUAUUUUGUUGGUUUGUGAGAGCCGAGUAAUGAUUAAGAGGGACGGUUGGGGGCAUUUGUAUUCCAGCGUCAGAGGUGAAAUUCUUGGAUUGCUGGAAGACAAACCGCUGCGAAAGCGUCUGCCAAGGACGUUUUCA